rnacentral:rRNA from 1 species
UACGUAGGGGGCAAGCGUUGUCCGGAAUCAUUGGGCGUAAAGAGCGUGUAGGCGGCCCGGUAAGUCCGCUGUGAAAGUCCAGGGCUCAACCCUGGGAUGCCGGUGGAUACUGUCGGGCUCGAGUCCGGAAGAGGAGUGUGGAAUUCCUGGUGUAGCGGUGAAAUGCGCAGAUAUCAGGAGGAACACCAAUGGCGAAGGCAGCUCGCUGGGACGGUACUGACGCUGAGACGCGAAAGCGUGGGGAGCAAGCAGG